AUUGAACGCUGGCGGCAGGCCUAACACAUGCAAGUCGAACGGUAACAGAAAGCAGCUUGCUGCUUUGCUGACGAGUGGCGGACGGGUGAGUAAUGUCUGGGAAACUGUCUGAUGGAGGGGGAUAACUACUGGAAACGGUAGCUAAUACCGCAUAACGUCGCAAGACCAAAGAGGGGGACCUUCGGGCCUCUUGCCAUCGGAUGUGCCCAGAUGGGAUUAGCUAGUAGGUGGGGUAACGGCUCACCUAGGCGACGAUCCCUAGCUGGUCUGAGAGGAUGACCAGCCACACUGGAACUGAGACACGGUCCAGACUCCUACGGGAGGCAGCAGUGGGGAAUAUUGCACAAUGGGCGCAAGCCUGAUGCAGCCAUGCCGCGUGUAUGAAGAAGGCCUUCGGGUUGUAAAGUACUUUCAGCGGGGAGGAAGGGAGUAAAGUUAAUACCUUUGCUCAUUGACGUUACCCGAAGAAGAAGCACCGGCUAACUCCGUG
rnacentral:rRNA from 1 species